CCUCAUCUCAGCAGUGCGUCAUCCCUCCCCCUAUCAGCGUUCUCUCAGCGGGUGCACAAGCAAGCACCCAAAUAUACGUAAACACGGCCGAGGUGUGUUCUGAAGACGGCACGGGCACGUGUCUUUACUGCGCGAGGGUCACUUGUGUGUGCUACCCUCGACUGGUGAGUGCAGUGUAGAAGAGCCGGUCGAUUCGCUCGCAAGCUUGCCGCGAGCAGAUGGAGAGGGCUGUUAGGGAUGAGGCAACGUACGCUGCACUUAAGGAGUGUCGGCCUCAAAACUGGGGGCCCCUGCGCACUAUCACUACCGUUGACAGCUAUGUGGGCGGGACGAGGCAGGCGGACGCCGCCUCCUACCCCGUGCUGGAGGGUCCUGGAACACUACGCUCUCGAACGGGUUACGAAUUCACUGGUUUGCUGCACGAAGGCGAGGCCUCUGGUGCCGGCGUUCAGAGUUGGAGCGACGGCCGCAUAGUCUGUGGAACGUUCCAGCACGGCACUGUGACGGGGAGCGGCUCCUUGCACUGGCCCAACGGGGAUGUGUACACAGGGGACCUCUGCGAAAGUGUGCGUCACGGUCACGGCACCCUCGUCUCUGACGCCGGCAGGUCACGGUACACUGGCGACUGGCAGAGUGGGAUGCGGCACGGACACGGAACCCAAGCCUACCCUGAUGGGAGCGUGUACGAGGGGGAGUGGCAGCACGAUGCACGCCACGGCAACGGCUGCAUGCAAUAUAGCACGGGCGACAUCUAUGAAGGUGCAUGGAGCGACGGCACGCCAUGCGGGAACGGGGUGAUGGGCUGGGUAGACCGCAGCGGCUGCUUUUACCGAGAGUUGUACAAGGGCGAGUGGAAGGCAGGGUGUCCGGACGGCAGCGGCGUGUCCACGUACAUGGCCAUGCCAAAGGAUUGCCUCCUUGGGUCAUCCUCCACUCCGCUUGUGGCACCGUCCCAGUACGCAGCGCCUGCCGAGGCACUCUUGAACGUGUACGUUGGUGCGUACCGCCGCGGGCAACGCCACGGCCGAGGCAUUUUCUACUACGCAGACGGCAGCUGUUACGAGGGCGGGUGGGCUGCGGGGUUCAAAAGCGGAGAAGGUCACUUCACCUCUGCGGUCGGAGAGGUGCAGGAGAUGAACGCAACAUCGGAGCAAGACACAGAAGCUGCAGAAGAAGCAGUGGCGGCGCUGACUCUGGAGGAAUCCGCAUCUUCCGUGGUACCCUCCGUGUCACCUCACGGCUUGGGCAACCUCCUCGAGACCGAGGACGAUCUGCAGGUGACAAUGCACCUCCUUUUACUACGCUACAAUACAACGCUGAAAACCCUCUUCAAGGACUACAGCCAUCGAAGUGCGCAUGUGGCCUUGCCUACAACGCGCAGUGACUGGUGGCAGCACCGGUUGCCUGGUCGUAUGACACUCACGCAGUGCCUAUGCCUCCUUCACGACGCACACAUACUUGGCUCGCACUUCUCGAUUGGUGCCGCGUUGCGCGCAGUAGCCGAGGUGCUGCGCGUCGAGGCUGAGACGUGGAAAGGUGCAAGGGCGGCAACCACCCUGGCGUCCACCCUCACCUUAGUGAACGAGGCGGAGGGCACUCUCAACUACCGUCAAUUCUGCGAGUGGCUCAUCCGCGUCGCUGUGACGGUGAAUGGCGGGCCAACGUGCACGACAGUGAAGGCGAAGGUGAGUGCCUUGCUGGAUGGUUCGCUCAGCCGCGUCUCCGGGGCAUCGUCACGCGCGGUAGCUGCCACCUUUCUGCCCAACUCUCUACAGCACAUGGAGGACGUGCAGCAUCACCUCAGUUCGCUGAAGCGCUGCUACGCCGAGCUUCAAAGCGUGAAGGACGGGGGUAGAUACGGUGUGUCUCUGCGCUCCUGCCUGAUAGCCAUGAAGGGAACGCUUGCGAAGUGCCAGAUUAGCUCUUCAUGUGUCCUCGAGAAGCUGGCGUGGCUGAAGGAUGAGUCGGAGUCGAGAUACAGCACCGCUCCGAACGCGAAAACCGUCGCUGAAGAGCCAUCCUUGGCACAGGAGAUGGUGACCUCCGCCAUGGCGAGGAACAGGCAAGUGCAGCAACUGGACGAGGAUGCCGGAACGGAGCAGUCGUUUGUGGAGUUUGUGGAGACGGUAAUGACGGUUGUCGAGGCUGCGCGUCAUCGCGGCUGCACGAAUGCGGAUGCGUUGCUGGUCGACCUUCAGCGCCGUUUGUUUGCCCAGUAGAAGCACGAUUCGUGUGAGGCUAUCCUUUUCGCGUUUCCUGCUUCCGUUUGCGGGCUCCCGAUGCGGUGGUGGCACCAAUCAUGUGAAGGCGUGUAUGUGCGCCUGUGCGUCAUUCGAAGAUGUAUCUGAGACUUUACUUGGUGCAUGCCGACUACCGCUUCACGUAUGUAUAGUUGAGCCCUCACUCUUUGCUCCUGCUCUACGACGACGACUCUUAUGUUUGACACCGUUGAAUGGAGGUGGGGGCGUGGCGGCCCCCUUUCGCUCAGAGGGCGACUCCGAAUCUGUGUUUGCAGGGGAGCGCACUUGUGUCCGCCUUCCGUCAUCUCAAGCAACACAAC
rnacentral:misc_RNA from 1 species